UACGUAGGUGGCAAGCGUUGUCCGGAUUUACUGGGCGUAAAGAGCGCGCAGGCGGUCGCUCAAGUCGCGUGUGAAAGCCCCCGGCUCAACUGGGGAGGGUCACGCGAUACUGAUCGACUGGAAGGCAGGAGAGGGUAGUGGAAUUCCCGGUGUAGUGGUGAAAUGCGUAGAUAUCGGGAGGAAUACCAGUGGCGAAGGCGACUACCUGGCCUGUUCUUGACGCUGAGGCGCGAAAGCUAGGGGAGCAAACGGG
rnacentral:rRNA from 1 species